rnacentral:rRNA from 1 species
GAUGAACGCUGGCGGCGUGCUUAACACAUGCAAGUCGAACGAACCUUCGGGUUAGUGGCGGACGGGUGAGUAACGCGUGGGAAUCUGCCCUCAGGAGGGGGAUAACGGUUGGAAACGACCGCUAAUACCCCAUAUGCCGAGAGGUGAAAUGAAUUUCGCCUGAGGAUGAGCCCGCGUCUGAUUAGCUUGUUGGUGAGGUAAUGGCUCACCAAGGCAUCGAUCAGUAGCUGGUCUGAGAGGAUGAUCAGCCACACUGGGACUGAGACACGGCCCAGACUCCUACGGGAGGCAGCAGUGGGGAAUUUUCCGCAAUGGGCGAAAGCCUGACGGAGCAACGCCGCGUGAGGGACGAAGGCCUCUGGGCUGUAAACCUCUUUUCUCAAGGAAGAAGAUAUGACGGUACUUGAGGAAUAAGCCACGGCUAAUUCCGUGCCAGCAGCCGCGGUAAUACGGGAGUGGCAAGCGUUAUCCGGAAUUAUUGGGCGUAAAGCGUCCGCAGGCGGCCUUUCAAGUCUGCUGUUAAAACGUGGAGCUCAACUCCAUCAUGGCAGUGGAAACUGAUUGGCUUGAGUAUGGUAGGGGCAGAGGGAAUUCCCGGUGUAGCGGUGAAAUGCGUAGAUAUCGGGAAGAACACCAGUGGCGAAGGCGCUCUGCUGGGCCAUUACUGACGCUCAUGGACGAAAGCCAGGGGAGCGAAAGGGAUUAGAUACCCCUGUAGUCCUGGCCGUGAACGAUGAACACUAGGUGUCGGGGGAAUCGACCCCUUCGGUGUCGUAGCUAACGCGUUAAGUGUUCCGCCUGGGGAGUACGCACGCAAGUGUGAAACUCAAAGGAAUUGACGGGGGCCCGCACAAGCGGUGGAGUAUGUGGUUUAAUUCGAUGCAACGCGAAGAACCUUACCAGGGCUUGACAUCCUGCGAACCUCUAAGAAAUUAGAGGGUGCCUUCGGGAACGCAGUGACAGGUGGUGCAUGGCUGUCGUCAGCUCGUGUCGUGAGAUGUUGGGUUAAGUCCCGCAACGAGCGCAACCCACGUUUUUAGUUGCCAGCAUUUAGUUGGGCACUCUAGAAAGACCGCCGGUGAUAAACCGGAGGAAGGUGUGGAUGACGUCAAGUCAUCAUGCCCCUUACGUCCUGGGCUACACACGUACUACAAUGCUACGGACAAAGGGCAGCAAACUCGCGAGAGCUAGCAAAUCCCAUAAACCGUGGCUCAGUUCAGAUCGUAGGCUGCAACUCGCCUACGUGAAGUAGGAAUCGCUAGUAAUCGCAGGUCAGCAUACUGCGGUGAAUACGUUCCCGGGCCUUGUACACACCGCCCGUCACACCAUGGAAGUUGGCCGCGCCCGAAGUCGUUACUUUAACCCUUGUGGAGAAGGACGCCGAAGGUGGGGCUGAUGACUGGGGUGAAGUCGUAAC